GAUUGAAAUCAUUGUUUUUUUGAAAGAAUUUAUUUAGAAUAUAAACUCACAAUGGAUUGAAAUCAUUGAAUGGACAGAUAAUAUAUCCGGCUCAAAUAAAAGACCCACAGUCGAAGUUAUGUUGAUUGGUGGAUUGGGUAUUUGUGUUACAGUUCAAUGGGCCACGGCCCAGGGGUAAGUUUAGGGUUUGAUGUUACGCCUAAAUUGAUCCAUCUCCACCUUAGGGUUCCGGUACACCGUAGAGGGCGGAGGAGAAGCCAGCAAAUCAGGGGACGAUUGCUUCACGUAAUAACGUCUUCAAAAGUCAACCAACCGCAGAGGGAUGGGGAAAAGAAGAAUGGAUCAAGUUUGUAUGCAAUUGCUAGUUUCUGUUGCAAGAGUUUCCUGGAACGAGGCACAAGACAUGGAUCAAGAUCAAGGACACCUUGACUCCAGAAAGAAGUUGAUUGAAGUCAUUAUUGGAACAAGGGUGGUUCUAUGCCUAUAUUAUCAACGAUUUUACCAGGGUUUUGUGUGUGAGGGAGAAAAUUGUCCAAGGAAAACUUUGAGAAGGAAUUGAUGUUUUUAUUUUGCAGUUGAUCUACAAUUAAAGUAGACAUUUGUUUAUACUAUUUUUCUGUGUAGAUGUAGAUAGCGCUACUUUGGCUUUGUUGGUCAACAAUAUAAAUAAAAUUAAGAGUGAUGUUGAGUCGUUGUCAAACAGGCUUGAAGGUCUGGGCAGUUAUGUAGAAAGUAUUGAAAAGGGUUUGAAAAAAUAUAACCGAGAGCCAGAUCCUGAGUUUCGUUUAGAUCUGAAGCCAUCUUCUUUGAAUCCAAUUGAUCUUCUACCAUCUUUCCCUGACAAGUUUGAUCUAAAUGUUUUUUGUAAUUGGGUAACGAGAGUAGAAACAUGUUUUAGCUAUUAUUUUUUUUCGGAGGCUGAAAAAGCCCAACUUGUAGCCCGCACAUUGCCACAGGAAGGAGAGGCUUUCAGAUGGUGGCAAGGUAUCCAAAAUGAAAGCAUGCAAGUCGAUGAACGCCCGUUUGAUUGGAGUGAGAUGAAGUUGCUGUUUUUGGCUGAAUUCGUUUCUCCAAAAUGUUUGGAAGCCAACAAGAAAUCCAAAACAUCCUUCUAAUGUAUUCAAAUUUACCCAUGGAAAUGGAAUUUUUUAAGAAACCUAAAAUCCUAUUCCCUCGUUUAUUUGAUUUAAAAUAUUUGGAUUCAUCUACUCUA